ensembl:lncRNA
CUUCCUUCAAGAGCUUAAAAGCUCACUGUUUGAGGAAAUACAUGAGGAUGAAACGGUACUUCAAGCCUCAACAGACUGGUCGACCCGAAAGAGCCUCAUAUCAGGGUGGUGGGAGAAAGAGAGACCCCGACUGGUCAACACCAUGGUGGCUGGACAACAUGCGGCAACUCGGAUCUGCCAACAUUGUGGAAAUGGUCCAGCCGUAAUCCGUUGUUGUGACUGCCGACCACACCCAUUCCUCUGUGGCCAGUGUGAUGUCAGGGUCCACCGAGGUCAAGUGUUCCACAACAGGGAUUCGAUGACACAUGCAUUCUUUCAUCCAUUGCCUCCCACAACUUGUGUUGUGGAGAGGGUUCUAACCCAGUGUGAGCGUCUUGUACCUUUGGAGAUGCCAGAGACAAUAUGCGGUUGUCUACGAGUAUCGUCCAGUGUCAUCGCAGGACAGUCCAUAGUUGUGGUUACAAUGAAUGGGCGAUAUGAUCUCAGAAUGCCUCAGAUUAGAUGCAAAGCAUGUGAAGCCACUUGGAGUCCUGGAGUGGAUGACCUGAUCCGUAAUGACUACUGGCCUGCCA